UUUAUGGAGAGUUUGAUCCUGGCUCAGGAUGAACGCUGGCGGCGUGCCUAAUACAUGCAAGUCGAGCGAACGGACGAGAAGCUUGCUUCUCUGAUGUUAGCGGCGGACGGGUGAGUAACACGUGGAUAACCUACCUAUAAGACUGGGAUAACUUCGGGAAACCGGAGCUAAUACCGGAUAAUAUUUUGAACCGCAUGGUUCAAAAGUGAAAGACGGUCUUGCUGUCACUUAUAGAUGGAUCCGCGCUGCAUUAGCUAGUUGGUAAGGUAACGGCUUACCAAGGCAACGAUGCAUAGCCGACCUGAGAGGGUGAUCGGCCACACUGGAACUGAGACACGGUCCAGACUCCUACGGGAGGCAGCAGUAGGGAAUCUUCCGCAAUGGGCGAAAGCCUGACGGAGCAACGCCGCGUGAGUGAUGAAGGUCUUCGGAUCGUAAAACUCUGUUAUUAGGGAAGAACAUAUGUGUAAGUAACUGUGCACAUCUUGACGGUACCUAAUCAGAAAGCCACGGCUAACUACGUGCCAGCAGCCGCGGUAAUACGUAGGUGGCAAGCGUUAUCCGGAAUUAUUGGGCGUAAAGCGCGCGUAGGCGGUUUUUUAAGUCUGAUGUGAAAGCCCACGGCUCAACCGUGGAGGGUCAUUGGAAACUGGAAAACUUGAGUGCAGAAGAGGAAAGUGGAAUUCCAUGUGUAGCGGUGAAAUGCGCAGAGAUAUGGAGGAACACCAGUGGCGAAGGCGACUUUCUGGUCUGUAACUGACGCUGAUGUGCGAAAGCGUGGGGAUCAAACAGGAUUAGAUACCCUGGUAGUCCACGCCGUAAACGAUGAGUGCUAAGUGUUAGGGGGUUUCCGCCCUUAGUGCUGCAGCUAACGCAUUAAGCACUCCGCCUGGGGAGUACGACCGCAAGGUUGAAACUCAAAGGAAUUGACGGGGACCCGCACAAGCGGUGGAGCAUGUGGUUUAAUUCGAAGCAACGCGAAGAACCUUACCAAAUCUUGACAUCCUUUGACAACUCUAGAGAUAGAGCUUUCCCCUUCGGGGACAAAGUGACAGGUGGUGCAUGGUUGUCGUCAGCUCGUGUCGUGAGAUGUUGGGUUAAGUCCCGCAACGAGCGCAACCCUUAAGCUUAGUUGCCAUCAUUAAGUUGGGCACUCUAAGUUGACUGCCGGUGACAAACCGGAGGAAGGUGGGGAUGACGUCAAAUCAUCAUGCCCCUUAUGAUUUGGGCUACACACGUGCUACAAUGGACAAUACAAAGGGCAGCGAAACCGCGAGGUCAAGCAAAUCCCAUAAAGUUGUUCUCAGUUCGGAUUGUAGUCUGCAACUCGACUACAUGAAGCUGGAAUCGCUAGUAAUCGUAGAUCAGCAUGCUACGGUGAAUACGUUCCCGGGUCUUGUACACACCGCCCGUCACACCACGAGAGUUUGUAACACCCGAAGCCGGUGGAGUAACCUUUUAGGAGCUAGCCGUCGAAGGUGGGACAAAUGAUUGGGGUGAAGUCGUAACAAGGUAGCCGUAUCGGAAGGUGCGGCUGGAUCACCUCCUUUCU
rnacentral:rRNA from 1 species